UACGUAGGGUGCGAGCGUUGUCCGGAAUUAUUGGGCGUAAAGGGCUCGUAGGCGGUUUGUCGCGUCGGGAGUGAAAACCUCGGGCUUAACUCGGGGCUUGCUUUCGAUACGGGCAGACUGGAGGUAUGCAGGGGAGAAUGGAAUUCCUGGUGUAGCGGUGAAAUGCGCAGAUAUCAGGAGGAACACCGGUGGCGAAGGCGGUUCUCUGGGCAUUACCUGACGCUGAGGAGCGAAAGCGUGGGGAGCAAACAGG
rnacentral:rRNA from 1 species